CUACGGAGGGUCCAAGCGUUAUCCGGAAUCAUAGGGUUUAAAGGGUCCGCAGGCGGUCAAUUAAGUCAGAGGUGAAAGCCCAUCGCUCAACGAUGGAACUGCCUUUGAUACUGGUUGACUUGAGUUAUACGGAAGUAGAUAGAAUAAGUAGUGUAGCGGUGAAAUGCAUAGAUAUUACUUAGAAUACCGAUUGCGAAGGCAGUCUACUACGUAUAUACUGACGCUGAGGGACGAAAGCGUGGGGAGCGAACAGGAUUAGAAACCCUAGUAGUCC
rnacentral:rRNA from 1 species